ensembl:snRNA U6 U6 spliceosomal RNA
GUGCUCACUUCAGCAGCACAUAUACUAAAAUUAGAACCAUAUAGAGAAGAUUAGCAUGGCCAAUGCACAAGGAUGACCAGCAAAUUCGUGAAGCAUUCCACAUUAAA